rfam:Clostridium sp. ATCC 29733 genomic scaffold Scaffold156, whole genome shotgun sequence.
ACAAUGAUACUCCCGUCCAGCCUAACGUCCGAGCGUUGACGCGGUCUUGUUGCCGUAAUCCGUCGCAGGCAAUGGGGGCGGUUGCGUGAGAACCACGCGAGGGGUGAGAUUCCCCGUGG